rnacentral:rRNA from 1 species
CUGUACUGCGGAGGACAUUAAUGAAUUUAACAGCAGAGUUGUCGCUGGCCAUCUGGCAUGUGCACGCUCUGCUAAUUCAUCCACACACCUCUGUGCACCUUUCAUAGAUUGACAUACGGCAGAGUUCAUUCUUUGCCAGUCUUUCUGUGUUAUAUCACUACAAACAUCAGUAUCAGAAUGUCUACUUGCGAUAAACGCAUUAAAUACAACUUUCAACAACGGAUCUCUUGGCUCUCGCAUCGAUGAAGAACGCAGCGAAAUGCGAUAAGUAAUGUGAAUUGCAGAAUUCAGUGAAUCAUCGAAUCUUUGAACGCACCUUGCGCUCUUUGGUAUUCCGAAGAGCAUGCCUGUUUGAGUGUCAUGUAUUCCUCAAUCUACAUGGAUUUUUUCUAUGGCAAAUGGAAUUUGAAACCUGCUGUUCAUACCAUGAUCAGCUCUUCUUAAAGGUAUUAGGGUGAAGGUUGUCAACCGUUCUCCAGGGUAUUAUUCAUUUGCGCUGCAAGGACUUUGCCAAAUAAUAUGUCCUGCUUCUAUCGUUCUGUUUCAACAAUACCUUUUGCGUUGACCUCAAUCAGGUAGGAUUACCCGCUGACUUAGCUAUCA